GCGGCAGGCCGGAGGCAUGCAAGUCGAACGAGAAAGUGUAGCAAUACAUGAGUAGAGUGGCGCACGGGUGAGUAACACGUGGGAACAUACCUUAAAGUGGGGGAUAACAGUUGGAAACGACUGCUAAUACCGCAUAAACCCUUCGGGGGAAAGAUUUAUCGCUUUAAGAUUGGCCCGCGUUGGAUUAGCUUGUUGGUGAGGUAAUGGCUCACCAAGGCAGUGAUACAUAGCUGGUCUGAGAGGAUGACCAGCCACACUGGGACUGAGACACGGCCCAGACUCCUACGGGAGGCAGCAGCUAGGAAUAUUGGACAAUGGGCGAAAGCCUGAUCCAGCCAUGCCGCGUGAGUGAAGAAGGCCGUCGGGUUGUAAAGCUCUUUUAGUUAUGAAGAUGAUGACUGUAGUAACAGAAAAAGCACCGGCUAACUUCGUGCCAGCAGCCGCAGUAA
rnacentral:rRNA from 1 species